UACGGAGGGGGCUAGCGUUGUUCGGAAUUACUGGGCGUAAAGGGCGCGUAGGCGGCGCGAUAAGUUGGGCGUGAAAGGCCCGGGCUCAACCCGGGGACUGCGCUUGAUACUGUCGCGCUGUGAGUCCGGGAGAGGAUGGCGGAAUUCCCAGUGUAGAGGUGAAAUUCGUAGAUAUUGGGAAGAACACCGGUGGCGAAGGCAGCCCCCUGGGCUAACACUGACGCUCAGGCACGAAAGCGUGGGGAGCAAACAGG
rnacentral:rRNA from 1 species